AAAAUAUGACGGCAGAUUUCAAUUUCAUUGGGCCUUUAGGGUGGUUAACUAUGAACACAAUCAUGAGAUUAGGUGAGCAGCAGGUUUACUUCAUUCGAAGCCAAAAGAAGAAACGAAUCGUCAAAUACUCAGGGCGCCAAUGGGCUCUAAUCAGUUUAAAUUCAUGGAUUGGGAGAAGUAUCUAUAUAUACUGCAGUUAGGGUUCUUGAUGGUUUCAUCUCAGCUCUUCCAAUCGGCCAUUCGCCUAACAUCAACAGAGCUCAUAAGCUUGCAGGUUCCAAUUUUCUAAUUGAAAAUGAAGAAAAAGCCAAAAAGUCAAGUCUAUUCCAAUAUCGACUGUUGCUUCGGAAGCUUGUUUUAGUGUUAGUGGAAGAAUUAUUGAUCAAUAUCGUAGCUCAUUGACACCACAAAUUGUUGAAUUGUUGAUAUGUAGUCGAGAUUGGCUUUUUGGAGAUUCGGGAUUGCAAACAAAAGAAAAAGAAGCAAUGGAUACUAUUAUUGGAGAUGUCAUUUCUCAAUACAGUGGGGGUCAUGAAGAUGAAAUGGAAUAUGAAGAAUGAAAAUGAGCAGAUAUUUAUCAGUUGAUGUUUUGUUGAAAUUUCUUUUUUAUAGACAAUUUGUUAUCUUUUGGUACUGGUUUAAAUGGAAUUACUGGUGAAUGUGUUUUGUGGUGAUUUAUUAUAUUGAUGUUAUAUUAUAUUUUUACCUUUUUAGUAUAGUUUUAAAACUUUAGAGCAGAUUACUUAAUAAUAGUUUAAUGUUCGGGUCAAACGGGUUAGGUUCAGGUUAACCCACAAAUAAUCGAGUCGUGUUCGGGUUGGUGUGUUAACACAUUUUUCGGGUUCGGGUCGUGUUCGGGUUUGAGUAAAUUUUUCGGGUUCAGGUCGGGUUGAACCCGCCAACCUGAGAACCCGACCCGUUAAGCACCCCUACCUGUGACCAAUGUUGGAAAAAAUCAAUACAUAAGUUAUAUUGAGCAAUAUAAAGGAGGAACAACUCAAACAUAUCUGAAAAGUGAGACCUCGACCAAUGUAAAGCAUAAUCCCUCAACAGUGUAUAUUGUUCUGCAAAGUCCCCUUCUACAUGCUUCUUGGCUAUGCAUUUAGCUCUAUAUGCCUUCAUCCUUGAAAUUCCAACAGAAAACUUCCUUUGAAACUGUUCUUGUACAGCCUUAAUAGGGAUUUCUGGGUUCUCUUCAAUCUGCUCUAGCAUCUCCUGUGACAAGAACUUUGAAGUACACGC